rnacentral:snRNA from 1 species
GCGCUCGCUUCGGCAGCACAUGUACUAAAAUUGGAACGAUACAGAAAAGAUUAGCAUGGCCCUUGCGCAAGGAUGACACGAAAAUUCGUGAAACAUUCCAUAUUAAA